GACUUUUUUUGGAGUGUGGAGCAGCUUAGGGCAGGAGCUUACAGGGCAGUAGGCUUUCCUGGCACACAGAGGAUAAUUCGGCACAAAGAAAGGUCACAGUCAGAAGAGCAAAGCAAACCAGCAGGACAUUCAGUGAUGGAGAGAUGGUGCUACUUACUGCUGCUAUUUGGAGGUGCCGUGCCCAUACAUACUGCACCCUUGGUCGGAUCAACACUGAGCAGCCCUAAUUCUGAAGCCAUUAAAAAGGCAAUAGAUAUCUAUAAUGCAAGACGCAACAGCAGCUUCCUAUUCAGGCUUCUCAACACUGACCCACAAUACACACAGCGUGAUGGGGGUAAACUGCAUUUUAUGAUCAAAGAGACUGUUUGCCUGAAUAGUAAACAACAAAGCCCUGCAAAGUGUGCCUAUAAAGAGAAUGGUGUGGUAAAAAACUGCACAUUGACCUCUAAUCUGAAAACUAGAGAAAUCAAAGUCUCUUGUGACUCAGUAACUUCAGAG